rnacentral:rRNA from 1 species
UGAGGAACAUGACCUUCGGCGGGGGAGUAGCCGGCCCAACGGCCGGGUAAUACCGCGUACGACCACAUGGGGACAUCCCUGAGUGGUGAAAGCAGCAAUGCGCCGAUGAAGUGCCUCGCGGCCUAUCAGCUUGUUGUGAGGUUACGGCUCACCAAGGCGUCGACGGGUAGCCGGCCUGAGGAGGGUGACCCGGCCACACGUGGGACUGAGACACCGGGCCCCGGACUCCGUACGGGGAGGCAGCGAGGG